CAACCCUCAAGCCCUGCUUGGUGUUGGGGCAUUACCCGGUCACACGGGUAAGCCCUGAAAUUCAGUGGCGAGCUCGCCAGGACUCCGAGCGCAGUAGUUAAACCCUCGCUUUGGAUCGUACUGGCGCGGCCCUGCCGUAAAACCCCCAACUUCUGAAA
rnacentral:misc_RNA from 1 species